rnacentral:lncRNA from 1 species
UUGAGCUUCUGACCCAUAACUUUGUAGGAUUCCGAGGCGUCUUCAUCGCUUCGUUCUGGGCUCCUGGCCUUUGCUUAAUGAUGAUCCUUCUUAGGUGAUAGGCUGGUCUGACCUUUAUCAUGCUUCCCCCUGUUUGUCUCCUUGGGUCUUUCUAUGACUUACUCUUUUUCCUUAGUUUUUACUGCCUGAGCGGUGAUGAUGUGCAUUUUGCGUGUCAGGUCGUCCUGAGCGAGAGAUUCAAUUGGAGCUCAGUCUCAAGGUUUUGACAAUUUGGGUUUAUCUUUUGUAGAUAGCGUGUGGGCCUUCGGCUGAUGGGCUAUUGUCGUGGGCCUGGCCCUUUGUAGGGGUGGAGAAGCCCAGCGGUCAUCUCCUUGCCCCUUUACCUCUCGCCGGUUAUUAUCUAACCGUUGAGAGGGUAAACUUCGAGAGCAAUUAAUGAUCGCGCCGUUCCAAGACAAAACUGCUCAGAACAACGUUUCAUCUCAUUAUUGCCUUUCACUUCGAAUUCUCCCUGUCUUCUGAAGAAACUCGUUCUCUUCUGCUCUCUGUUUUCCUGCAACUUCUUCUGCUUUUUCCACCCUAUUGCGUUUUCA